GGAGUCUAGCAUGUGCGCGAGUCAUUGGGACUCUAACGAAACCUAAAGGCGUAAUGAAAGUGAAGGUCCGCCUUGCGCGGACCGAGGGAGGAUGGACGGUCUUUCGGGAUCGUCUCGCACUCCCUGGGCGUCUCGUUCUCAUCGCGAGAAGAGGCGCACCAAGAGCGUACACGCUGGGACCCGAAAGAUGGUGAACUAUGCCUGGUCAGGACGAAGUCAGGGGAAACCCUGAUGGAGGUCCGUAGCGAUUCUGACGUGCAAAUCGAUCGUCGGAACUGGGUAUAGGGGCGAAAGACUAAUCGAACCAUCUAGUAGCUGGUUCCCUCCGAAGUUUCCCUCAGGAUAGCUGGCGCUCGCUUCUCGCGAGUCUCAUUCGGUAAAGCGAAUGAUUAGAGGCAUUGGGGUCGAAACGGCCUCAACCUAUUCUCAAACUUUAAAUGGGUGAGAUCUCCGGCUUGCUUGAACUGUGAAGCCGCGAGAUAUCGGAUCAGAGUGCCAAGUGGGCCACUUUUGGUAAGCAGAACUGGCGCUGUGGGAUGAACCAAACGCCGAGUUAAAGCGCCUAAAUCGACGCUUAUGGGAUACCAUGAAAGGCGUUGGUAACUUAAGACAGCAGGACGGUGGCCAU
rnacentral:rRNA from 1 species